UCCGAGACUAGAGUCACAUCCUGACACGUAUAAUUGCCUCGGUGUGCUAGAGUUCUCGCAGAUGAAAUGCUGAUCUUUAUUCACUGGCUGAUUAUUAUGUGAUUCAGUCAGCCGCCUGAUCAGGGACAUUU